rnacentral:rRNA from 1 species
AGUUGUUGCAGUUAAAAAGCUCGUAGUCGGAUUUUGGCAUCACGCCGCACUGUCUGCCGAUUGGUAAGUACGGUUUGGCGGGUGCUUCCUUCCGGUGCUGNGUUCUGCUCUUAGUUGAGCGGUUCGUUGGUUCCGGUUCUUUUACUUUGAGAAAAUUAGAGUGUUCAAAGCAGGCCUAUGCUCUGAAUAGGUUAGCAUGGAAUAAUAGAAUAGGACUUUGGUUCUAUUUUGUUGGUUUCUAGGACCGAAGUAAUGAUAAAUAGGGACAGUUGGGGGCAUUCAUAUUCCAUUGUCAGAGGUGAAAUUCUUGGAUUAACGGAAGAUGAACUUCUGCGAAAGCAUCUGCCAAGGAUGUUUUCAUUGAUCAAGAACGAAAGUUAGGGGAUCGAAGACGAUCAGAUACCGUCGUAGUCUUAACCAUAAACUAUGCCGACUAGGGAUGUGGAGGCGUUAACUUUGUACGACCCUCCAUGCACCUUAUGAGAAAUCAAAGUCUAUGGGUUCCGGGGGGAGUAUGGUCGCAAGGCUGAAAACUUAAAGGAAUUGACGGAAGGGCACCACCAGGAGUGGAGCCUGCGGCUUAAUUUGACUCAACACGGGAAAACUUACCAGGUCCAGACAUAGUUAGGAUUGACAGAUUGAGAGCUCUUUCUUGAUUCUA